UUUUAUGGCUGAAUAGUAUUCCAUUGUAUAAAUAUGCCACUUCUUCUUUAUCCAGUCAUCUGCUGAUGGGCACUUAUGUUGCUUCUGUAUCUUGGCAACUGUAAGUAAUGCUGCUAUGAGUGCAUAUAUGUUUUCAAAUUGAUGUUUUCAUUUUCUUUGAAUAUAUCCACAGGAGUGAAUGGCUGGAUCAUAUGGUAGUUCUAUUUUUAGUUUUUUGAGGAAACUCCAUACAGCUCCACAGUGGCUGCAGCAAUUUACAUUCCCAUUAACAGUGUACAAGUGUUCCCUUUUCUCCACAUCCUUGCCAACAUUUGUUGUUUGUGGUCUUUUUGAUGAUAGCCAUGCUGACAGGUGUGAGAUGAUAUCUCAUUGUGGUUUUGAUUUGGAUUUCUCAGUGAUGAUUAAUGAUGUUGAGCAUCUUUUAAUGUGCUUGUUGGCCAUCUGUAUGUUUUCUUUGGAAAAAUGUCUAUUCAGAUCUUCUGCCCAUUUCUUAAUUGAGAUGUUUGUUUUUUUGAUAUUGAGUUGUAUGAGCUAUUUAUGUAUUUUGAAUAUUAACCUCUGAUCAGUCAUGUUAUUUGCAGAUACUUUCUCCUAUUCAUUAGGUUGUCCUUUCAUUUUUUGCUGUUCAGAGCUCUUAAGUUUAAUUAGGUCCCAUUUAUUUAUUCUUGCUUUUGUUUCCUUUGCAGCUUAGGAGAUUGAUCCAAAAAAAUUGCUACGAUUUAUGUCAGUGUUUUGCCUACAUUUUCUUCUAAGAGUUUUAUGGUUUCCAGUCUUACAUUUAGGUCUUUUAUCCAUUUUGAGUUUAUUUUUAUAUAUGGUGUCAGAAAAUAUUCUAAUUUCAUUCUUUUACAUGUAGCUGUCCAGUUUUCCCAGUACCAUGUAUUGAAGAGACUGUCUUCUCCAUUGUAUAUUCUUGCCUUCUUAUUUCUUGGCUCUCUAUUUUGUUCCAUUGAUCUAUGUGUCUGUUUUUGUGCCAGUACCAUACUGUUUGAUUACUGUCGCUUUGUAGUAUAAUCUUAAGUCAAGAAGUGUGAUACCUCCACCUCUGUUCUUUUAUUUCUAAUUUUUUUGAAGAAUCACCAUAUUGUUUUCUGUACUAGUUGGACCAAUUUACAUUCCUACUAACAAUGUAUAUAUGUUCCCUUUUCAUCACAUCCUCAUCAGCAUCUAUAUUCUCUUCUUGAUAAUAGCCAUUUUAACAGGUGUGAAUUGAUAUCUCAUUGUGGUUUUGAUUUGCAUUUCUCUGAUGAUUAGUAAGGUUGAGCACUUUUUCAUAUGUCUGUUGGUCAUUCUGAUGUCCUCUUUGGAAAAAUGUAUUUUCAGAUCAUUUGUUUUUCUUUGUUACUAAGUUGACUGAGUUUUUUUCCUAUAUUUCCUAUAUUUUCCUAUACUUAUUUCCUAUAAGUAACCUCUUAUCUGAUACAUGGUUUGCAAAAGUUCUCUCCCAUUCUAUAGAUUUUUCAUUUUGUUAAUUGCUUCUUUUGCUAUGCAGAAACUUUUGAUAGUUCUAGUUGUUGAUUUUUGUUUUUUUUGUUUGUGCUUUUGACAUCAUGUUAAAAAACAUUGCCAAGACCAACAUUGAUGAGAUUGUUCUCUGUUUUCUUCUAGGAGUUUUAUCAGGUCUUAUGUUUAAGUCUUUAAUCCAUUUGGGGUUAAUUUUUGUGAGUAGUGUGAGACAGGGGUCCAAUUUCAUUGUUCUGCAUGUGUUUCUCCACUUUUCCCAGAAAUAUUAUUUGAAGAAACUGUCCUUUCCCCAUUUGGUAUCCUUGGCUCACAUGUCAGUUAUCAGUUGACCAUAUAUGCAGGGAUUUGAUUCUGGGCUAUUUUGUUCCACUGGUCAAUGUGUCUGUUUUUGUACCAGUACCAUACUGUUUUUAUUACUAUGGCUUUGUAGUAUAAUUUGAAACCUGGAGAUGUGAUACCUCUCACUUUGUUCUUUUUUCUCAGGAUUGCUUUGGCUAUUCAGAGCCUUUUGUGGUUCCAUACAAAUUUUUGGAUUGUUUCUUCUAUUUUUGUAAAGAAUGCCUUUGGUAUUUUGAUGCCAGUUAUAGUGAAUGUGUAGAUAGCUUUGAGUACUAUGGCCAUUUUAACAAUAUUAAUUCUUCCAAUCCAUGAACACAGGAUGUUUUUCCAUUUGUUUGUGUCUGUUUCAAUUUCUUUGAACAAAGACUUGGAGUUUUCAUUGUACAGAUCUUUCACUUGGUUAAAUUUAUUUCUAUAUAUUUUAUUGUAGAACUGCUUUCAAAACAACAGUAACAACAGAACAAGAGCAUAGCAAUAUUUCAUAUAUGCCUUUUAAAAUUUCCAUUUGAUGAGAGCAGAGGCAUGAGUUAAGACAUAGUUCUAUAUGGGAAUAUUGUUUGGAAAGCAUGUAAAACAUUUUGCAGGACUGUACAGGUGACUAAAGGUGGGGUGUAGCAAUCUGAAGUUACAGUCAAGACCAGGCUGUGUGUGUGAACUGUAUGUGCAGAGAACUUGCUAGGGUCAGGUACUGUAAUAGCAGUUUUGGAACUGAGCAGAACCCUGUGCACCGCCCCCACCCCAGGAGGUACAAAGACCCCUAUGUCCCCUGACUCUUACUUGUAGAAAAGCUGAAAUCGCUCAGGCUUCCCUGUGUCACAAAGGAGCAGGUUUAAGCAGUUAAUGAUCAGGACAAGAGUCACAGACUCACUGUCUGAUGCACAUUCCCGAGUUGUUUUACAGACACUGUAACAGCCACCAGAGGGAAAGGCUAACUGUAUGAUGGCCAGAUGGUAGCCAUAAGCUGCUCCAUCUUCAGCAGGACUGAAUCUACGGCCAGCACAAUUCCAAGGACUGGCCUUAAGAGAAUGAGAUUAACACUACUGCUCAUAAUAAUCUGUAUCUCUGUGGCCAUCCAAAUAAUUGUAGCUUGUUCUGCCCAUAUAUGUAAGCCAGCAACUAAACCUGUCAGCAAAGAGAUGCUUCAAACCCAAGUUGGUAUCUUUCACCUAAGACCUCGAUGCCCUUUCUCAGCAUGAAGCAGUUACAGAAGACAGAGCUUCCUCCCUAAUCCCAUACAAGUGUAAUGGUAUCUGACAGGAGUGGUUGGUAAGCAGCUCUUUGCAGGGCACCACCCUUAACAGUAAACCCCUUUUGCCUUGUCACUUUAGCAAAGGUAUACAUUACCUAACUUUGACAUCAGGCACCCCCAUGCUCCACUCAUCUCCAACCCUAGCACACCUUUCACAUCUUUUGACCACAUGAUACCUUGCCUAACCUGUUGGUUCUUUCCAUAGAUCAAAGACGCAGAAAUGGAGAAUAAGCACUUAACAGAUGACCAGGUCUCUUCCCUAGCCUCCCCUCAGUCAUCUUGCAAACAGGCUGUGAACAAGAUAGCACCUACAGAAAGGUCAUGAGUCCACACGCCUGCAUGUGGUGGAAGACAGCUACAAGUAUGCUCCCUCACCUCAGUGGUUAACUGAGAUUACCUCCCCUUUUUUCUUUAAAAUAAUUUUUGAAGUUGGUUUUUGAGGAACAUGAUUCUGCCUUCUCUCCAGAUUGCCAGCUUUAUGAUUAAAAGCAACUUUUCUUCCUAUCAACACUUGCCCCUUUGGUACUGCUUCUUGAGCAGCAAGCAGCCAGACCUGAGUUUGGUAAGUUUUGUAGCUCAUUUUUUAAGUUAAGUGAAAAAUAUAUCAGAAUUAUGGUAGCAUCUGACAGGUAUGACUAAGCUGGAGAGGGGAGCAGACUUUUGUGGGCACUAAUCCUGGGAAAAGAGUAUGAGGUGGCUGUGUAAGUGUCCAUGGAGAGGGUCUCUCUUCCACCCCACAAGACCACAGGAGCAUGUAUUCCCUCUAGUACCCAAAGAGAUGAAGUGGAAACUAGGGUCUCUGAGCUACCAGGAGGUAAAUGAAGCAAAACCUGCUGUGGGGAGCCCUCAGCAGGAGCAAAGGGGCGACCAGAAGAGACCAGAAAUCCAGAAUCAGUAUCGUCACAGGAUGACACAGGGAAGGCGGCUAUUGGUGAUCUUUCCUAGGGGUUCACCAUCACUGGCGCAUUGCUGGCCUUAAUGAGCUAAAGCGCAGAGAUGGGAAAGGGGAUGAUGCAUUCAUUGUAGGGGCAGAGUGAACCAGGGGUCUUCCCAGCAUUGCAGGUACUCAGAUCUUUCUCAUUAGGGAAGCCAUUCUCCAGCUUGAAGAAUGCCAGAUGUCCAUUGAUUUCCAAGGCCCCUGUGCUGCUGAGUCGUGACACCAUCUCCAUGCCAGGAUACUGCUCCUUCACAGCACUCGCCACCUCCAGGUCUUGAAUGGGCUAAUAAUUUGCACAGCUGAGAAAUCAGAUGACUUUUUUCCCAGUUGAAGUCCAUAUAUGUGUGAAGUGAUCCAGGUGGAAGGGAUAAGGAGAGAAAAAAAAGUUAAAUCUGAAAAUGAAAGAGAUAAACAAGAAACCCUGCUUAUGAGAAGAUCCCAGGUAUGAAAAAUCACAUUUGUGAAGGCAUUGAGGAAUCUAAAAUAUUAAAAGGAGGCUAAGAAAGUGCUCAUAUGAUGUGAACACUGGUAAAGGAUUGAACAGUUCUGAAAAGUGUAAACACAACUGACUAGUAUUUUUACAAACAUCAGGGUCUUUGUUAGUAAACACUGUAAUUCUUCUCCCACUCAAUCGGCAAUAACCAGUGCAGUUAAAUGGACACUGCUGUUCACUGCCAGGAGGGAAGAGCCUAUCUGAGCAGUCUUUGGGAAGACAACUUAGAGGUGGUGGUGAAAAUUCCCUGGUCCUAGAAUGAGUCAAAAGCAAAGCAGUUGCUUUUCACCUGUCACUGAGAACUUGCACAGGCCUCAAGAGAAAACUUAAGUGUUCAGGUAAUGAAAAGAAUAAAAUACUUUCCGAGUCCCAGACAGGGAUAGAGGUUCACCCACAUAACCUUCCACACUUAUAUGCACAGCUUUCGAUUUGAUGUCUCAGGAUGGAGUCACAUGUGUCUGCGAGCUUCACUGACCUCUUUG